GGUGGGGUGGCCCAGUUGGUCCACGGCGGCAGCCUGCUAAGCUGCUGAGCUUUGUGCUCGCCCGGGUUCGAAUCCCGGCCCCACCG
rnacentral:tRNA from 1 species